rnacentral:misc_RNA from 1 species
UUCGAUGGGUCAGGUGCCAGGG